UUACAUUUGUAGAGAGAGGAAGCUAUACUUUUUUUAAUGGUUACUUUCUUUUUUUAAGGCAGGAUCUUGCUCAGUUACCCAGGCUAGAGUGCAGUGAUGACAUCAUAGCUCAUGGCAACCUUGAACUCCUGGCCUCAAGUGACUUUCCCUCAAGAAGUUGAGACUACAGGCAGCUGCUUACCAUUAAUGACCAGCAACAGUGACGAGGGAUCCAUCUGCCCUGUUCUGGAACAAGGGAAUGCACCACCUGUUAAAUUUAUAACUACAGCUUCCACAAAUGAACAUGAAAAUGAAGCCUCCAGAUUGGAAAUAAUGUGUAGCUUUUAUGUAAAAACAUCAAGAUAUUCAAAAGUCUGUUUGUUCUCUCCACUUAGUGUUUUGAAAUGCUUGAAAGAAAAAACAGUGCUAAGUGUGAGAUGAGUAUCUUUGACACAAUGCCAAUUGUUAACCAGAAUGUUCCACAUUAAUAAAAUGGUUUCAGAUUCAUUGGAAACUAACUGUCCCUGCUUCUGCCCUGAAAAACACCUGUGGGAAAAGCAAUGCAAUUUUGUAAAUCUGUGAGUGUCAAUCUGAUAUAACUGUUCUAUCCCAGAGAAGUAAUAGAAAUCAAUAAACACAAAUAAGGAAAUUGUUCUAACAUUUUGAGAUCAUAAUCUUCUCUGAAUAUUAAAGUUUAUGGCAUACAAGAAAACCCUGAUUCUCACUGCUUUUUUUCUCUUCUUUACCUCAAUUAAUGUUCUUAUCUCUUCAGUGAGUAAAUGUCUCGUUUUUUCCUUUAUGUAUUUCCGUUUCUUUUUUUAAAUUGCAUUUUAGGUUUUGGGGCACAUGUGAAGAACAUGCAAAAUUGUUGCAUAGGUA
ensembl:lncRNA